UGUACCCUCAAGCACUGCUUGGUGUUGGGCGUUUGUCCUGCAAAGGACUCGCCUGAAAGCGAUUGGCGGCCAACGUACUGGUGGUAGAGCGCAGCACAAUUUGCGUCUCUCCCUUCUACGAUGGCGUCCAUGAAGCCUUAUUCAAACGU
rnacentral:misc_RNA from 1 species